rnacentral:tRNA from 1 species
GGCUCAGUUGCUAGAGCAUGGUGUUUGCAACACCAGUGUAGUGGGUUUGAUUCCCAC